UUCAAACUCACCCUUAGCUCCCCACCCAGGCGAUUCGUCUUCAACCUCACCCUCAGUUCCCCACCUCAAGGCUCACGACAGCUUCGUCUCCAACCUCACCCCGUCCCCAAGCACGUCAACUGCUCCAGUCCAAGCCCUCGACCCCAAGCACCUUCGACCUCAGACCGACGGAAGACGAAAUCCCCAAGCAGUGAAGCUUCCAGUCCAAACCCCCGAGCCCAAGCACUUCCAAUCCAAGCCCCUGACCCCAAACACAUCGUCUCUGUGAUUCUUGGUUGAAUGAGGAUAAGAAAUUGUAAACCAAGCAGAGAUGGAUGUCAUUUUCUCAUAACAAAUAAUUGGCUCUAAUUCUCAGUGCACAAUCAUUAGAAGAUGCAAGCUUGCUCAGGUGAUUAUUUAGAGUCUUGUUGUUUAUAGUUUUGGAUUUCAAGUUUGCUCGAGUUGAUAUAUUCGAUUUUGCUCAGUUGAUGAUUUGAAUCAUUUAUGAUGUAUUCUCAUAUCAGUUCAUCCAUUGUAUAGUUUUGGAUUUCGAGUUUUUGAUAAUGUGUUCUCAGACUUGUUAUAGUUUUGGAUUUCGAGUUUUAAUGAAGAAUUGAAUUGCAAUUUUUACUA